rnacentral:misc_RNA from 1 species
CUUCCCUUCCAGGAUCCUGUUGUUGAUUCAUUGAAAGCAGCCGUAGACAGGGUCACUCACUCAACAAACUUCCUUAACUUUUUGGCACAACAUGCUCUCAUCAUGCAAGAAGAGCUACCUACUACUACUGAGGAACGUGCUGAUGAUCAAAGAUACCAUUUUAUGUCACUUGUCUUGAACUUAUUGAACACAUUUCUUUAUAUGGUCAACACAUAUAUAAUUGUCCCCG